UACGUAGGGGGCAAGCGUUGUCCGGAUUUACUGGGCGUAAAGAGCGUGUAGGCGGCCAAACAGGUCCGUUGUGAAAACUCGAGGCUCAACCUCGAGACGUCGAUGGAAACCAUCUGGCUAGAGUCCGGAAGAGGAGAGUGGAAUUCCUGGUGUAGCGGUGAAAUGCGCAGAUAUCAGGAAGAACACCCGUGGCGAAGGCGGCUCUCUGGGACGUGACUGACGCUGAGACGCGAAAGCGUGGGGAGCGAACAGG
rnacentral:rRNA from 1 species